AAUUGCCUCCGUUAUGAAACAUCUUCACCUGUUAGCCAAAGCUAAGUUGAAUCACAGCAGAAAUUAUUAACAGUGGCUGUUUUCAAGCCAGCUUAAUUUGAGCUGAUGCCGCUGUUCCCUUAACACAGAUGAAUAGGUGUGCAGGACGAGAGCCUAAGUAGAGAUGACACCCCAAUGAAUAUUUGCUCACAGUCCUGCUGUGGGGAGCUGGCUCGCACAACAACAGACAAUUGUCAAAAGCUAAAGGGUGGGGAAUGUUGGAGCUUUGGACAGGACCUACUCUGCAAGAAUUUUCUCUGAGCUCGUCCUGGGGAAAAGACGAGCAAGGCAUUGCUUGACAGAGGAAUCAUUUCUCCGAGAUGGAUGAGGGUAUCACCUGGCCAGGUACUAGGAUCAAAGGAGUGCACUACCACCACCUGUGUUAAUUGUCAUAAUUUGAUGUUCAUGUAACUUGAUGACUCAUCACAGAAAAUUCUGGAAAUACCUAUGAACCCUUCAGUGGAAGAUAUGAGAGAGGUUUCUCCAAAGAUUUUUUCAAACUUUUGCCUGACUUCUGCUUCUGUAAUGUGAAAAUGCUUUACCAAUUUUCACCUAAUUUGAAUCUACUCUCUGUAUUAAAGAUCAAUUUUUAUAGCAAA